rnacentral:rRNA from 1 species
AAGGAUGAUUAACUCCAACCCCUGUGACAUACCAAUUGUUGCCUCGGCGGAUCAGCCCGCUCCCGGUAAAACGGGACGGCCCGCCAGAGGACCCCUAAACUCUGUUUCUAUAUGUAACUUCUGAGUAAAACCAUAAAUAAAUCAAAACUUUCAACAACGGAUCUCUUGGUUCUGGCAUCGAUGAAGAACGCAGCAAAAUGCGAUAAGUAAUGUGAAUUGCAGAAUUCAGUGAAUCAUCGAAUCUUUGAACGCACAUUGCGCCCGCCAGUAUUCUGGCGGGCAUGCCUGUUCGAGCGUCAUUUCAACCCUCAAGCCCUCGGGUUUGGUGUUGGGGAUCGGCGAGCCCUUGCGGCAAGCCGGCCCCGAAAUCUAGUGGCGGUCUCGCUGCAGCUUCCAUUGCGUAGUAGUAAAACCCUCGCAACUGGUACGCGGCGCGGCCAAGCCGUUAAACCCCCAACUUCUGAAUGUUGACCUCGGAUCAGGUAGGAAUACCCGCUGAACUUAAGCAUAUCAAUAAGCGGAGGA